CAAGAGAAGAAUCUAACAAACGGCAAAGAACUUACUGAUUCUUGAGAAACAGUAGCUCAAGAACACAUGGAUCCUGGGAACUGAAGUGGCCCUGAAGCUGCACUAUGUUGGAGGUUUGCUUGACUAAGAGAACCACACGCGGCAUUCACCUCAGUAGGGGAGUCAUAAAAGAUCCCGCCUCUGACCUGAAGAGUAUGAAUGACAAAGGUGACAUAACCAGCACGGAAAGAUGUCUUAGCCUCUGCACAUCAGCUGAUUUAGAAUACUUACAGAUAGGGGUUGGGGUGGGGGGUGCGGAAUGUUCUUUUCAGCUUCUUUACACUGAGAACUUUGAUCUUAUUGCAAGGAAGUCCCUUACCCUCUUCUACUGCAGAUCUGACGGACCUCCUGGGAUUU
rnacentral:sRNA from 1 species